GGGACAGAUCAUGCUGUAUGUGGAUGGGAUGAAUGGAGUCAUCUGUCACAUUGAGACCGUCCAGUGGCUCUACGCUCUCAUUGGCUCAAAGUUCCGCCUGGUGGUGAAGACUGCUCUGAAGUUGUUGCUGGUGUUUGUGGAAUACUCAGAGUCCAAUGCCUCUCUACUUAUAGAGGCCGUCACUACUGUAGACACCAAGAGAGGUUGUAAGCAGUGGUCUAAUGCCAUGGAGAUCUUAGAUGAGAAGGAUGGAGUGGACACAGAGCUGCUGGUCUACGGUAUGACCCUAAUCAACAAGACCCUGUCAGCAUUACCUGACCAGGACUCCUUCUAUGACAUGGUGGAUGGGUUGGAGGACCAGAGGAUGGAGGCUGUAGCUAAGAGGUUCCUGGGGAGGAGAGGAACUGACCUGGACCUGAUGGAGCAACUCAAUAUCUACGAGGCGACUCUACGUCAUGAGGAUGGCGAUGAUGAAUCUAAUCCGCCCCCAGGGCUCUCUGGCCUCAAGGACCGCCGCCGCGCCAGCUUUGGGGACAAGAGGAGGGGCCUGGAGAGGAGGCGGAGCCGCAGAGCAUCUCUAGGGCGGUCUGGGAACGCCUCGCCCUGCAGCCCGUCCACUCAACACUCCGGGUUCCAACCCUUCAAGGGACAAGGAGGAGAAGACAUGAGCAAGAGAAAAUCGACACAGAACCAGUCAGCCAGCGUUCACAGAACCAACUGCAUCACUUCCUCCAACUGCAUCACUUUGAGAAAAAAUAAAGAAAUUAAAGAGAGAGAACAGGAGGAAGAGAAGAGGAAGAAAGGCCAUCCUCCUCCUCCUCCUCCUCCUCCUCCUCCUCCUCCUCCUCCUCCUCCUCCUGUCUCUCUGCCGUCCCCACUAGUUACCCUGACUCCUCCUCCUGUCUCUCUGCCGUCCCCACUAGUUACCCUGACUCCUCCUCCUGUCUCUCUGCGGUCCCCACUAGUUACCCUGACUCCUCCUCCUCCUCCUGUCUCUCUGCCGUCCCCACUGGCUACCCUGACUCCUCCUCCUGUCUCUCUGCCGUCCCCACUGGUUACCCUGACUCCUCCUCCUCCUCCUGUCUCUCUGCCGUCCCCACUGGCAACCCUGACUCCUCCUCCCCCUGUGAUCUCCUCCCCCAUCUCCCCAUUGGCCCAGCCCUCUCAGCUGACAGCUCUCCUCGCUAGGCGGAAGUCCACUGUCACCAUCCCUGCUACCACUGAAGUUACCACGCGGGGGUAUAAACCGCCCCUCCCCUGAGCGCAUGCCCUACCUCCCCCACUCUCCCUUCCAUCUCUUCUCCUACGACUUCGAUGAGGAACCGAUACUACCCGCAACUAAACCGGAAGUGGACUCUGCUGCUGCCAGAACUGGAGUUCAAAGUCCUGUCACAAAACCAGCAAAUAAGUCUUCUCUGGGUGGUCUCCUCUCCUCCUCCUACAGACAGCAUCAGGAGUCCCUGUCGGCCGAGAGAGAGAGACGU